GGGGGCCCGCACAAGCGGUGGAGCAUGUGGUUUAAUUUGAAGCAACGCGAAGAACCUUACCAGGUCUUGACAUCCUCUGACAACCCUAGAGAUAGGGCUUCCCCUUCGGGGGCAGAGUGACAGGUGGUGCAUGGUUGUCGUCAGCUCGUGUCGUGAGAUGUUGGGUUAAGUCCCGCAACGAGCGCAACCCUUGAUCUUAGUUGCCAGCAUUCAGUUGGGCACUCUAAGGUGACUGCCGGUGACAAACCGGAGGAAGGUGGGGAUGACGUCAAAUCAUCAUGCCCCUUAUGACCUGGGCUACACACGUGCUACAAUGGGCAGAACAAAGGGCAGCGAAGCCGCGAGGCUAAGCCAAUCCCACAAAUCUGUUCUCAGUUCGGAUCGCAGUCUGCAACUCGACUGCGUGAAGCUGGAAUCGCAUAGUAAUCGCGG
rnacentral:rRNA from 1 species